rnacentral:rRNA from 1 species
UCGAGAAUCUUCGGCAAUGGGCGCAAGCCUGACCGAGCGACACCGCGUGCGGGAUGAAGGCCUUCGGGUUGUAAACCGCUGUCGUAGGGGAGGAAGGUCUGGUGUAUAGCCAGGCUUGACCGAUCCUAGGAGGAAGGGCCGGCUAAUCUCGUGCCAGCAGCCGCGGUAAUACGAGAGGCCCAAACGUUAUUCGGAUUUACUGGGCUUAAAGAGUUCGUAGGCGGCGCGGAAAGUAGGGUGUGAAAGCCCUCGGCUCAACCGAGGAACUGCGCUCUAAACUGCCGUGCUUGAGGAACCUAGAGGUGAGCGGAACUGAUGGUGGAGCGGUGAAAUGCGUUGAUAUCAUCAGGAACACCGGAGGCGAAGGCGGCUCACUGGGGGUUAUCUGACGCUGAGGAACGAAAGCCAGGGGAGCAAACGGGAUUAGAUACCCGGUAGUCCUGGCCGUAAACGAUGAGCACUAGGUCGUGGGCCUCCACAGGCCCUCGGCCGUAGCGAAAGUGUUAAGUG